rnacentral:rRNA from 1 species
GAUGAACGCUGGCGGCGUGCCUAAUUCAUGCAAGUCGAACGCACCACUUCGGUGGUGAGUGGCGAACGGGUGAGUAACACGUAGAUAACCUGCCCUUAAGACGAGGAUAACCAUUGGAAACGAUGGCUAAAACUGGAUAGGAAUAUUGGAGGCAUCUCUGAUAUUUUAAAAGACCUAGCAAUAGGUAUGCUUAAGGAGGGGUCUGCGGCGCAUUAGUUAGUUGGUGAGGUGAUGGCUUACCAAGACGAUGAUGCGUAGCCGGACUGAGAGGUUGAACGGCCACAUUGGGACUGAGAGACGGCCCAAACUCCUACGGGAGGCAGCAGUAGGGAAUUUUCGGCAAUGGGGGAAACCCUGACCGAGCAACGCCGCGUGAAUGACGAAGUACCUCGGUAUGUAAAGUUCUUUUAUUGGGGAAGAAUGGCUAGCGGAAAAGCUAGAUUGACGGUACCUGAUGAAUAAGCCCCGGCUAACUAUGUGCCAGCAGCCGCGGUAAUACAUAGGGGGCAAGCGUUAUCCGGAAUUAUUGGGCGUAAAGGGUGCGUAGGUGGUUAGAUAAGUCUUAGGUGUAAGUGCAGAGCUUAACUCUGUGAUGCUAAAGAAACUGUCUGACUUGAGUGUGGUAGAGGCAAGUGGAAUUCCAUGUGUAGCGGUAAAAUGCGUAAAUAUAUGGAGGAACACCAGUGGCGAAGGCGGCUUGCUGGGCCAUAACUGACACUGAGGCACGAAAGCGUGGGGAGCAAACAGGAUUAGAUACCCUGGUAGUCCACGCCGUAACCGAUGAGUACUAAGUGUUGGAGAA